rnacentral:rRNA from 1 species
ACGAACGCUGGCGGCGUGCCUAAUACAUGCAAGUCGAACGCUUCUUUUUCCACCGGAGCUUGCUCCACCGGAAAAAGAGGAGUGGCGAACGGGUGAGUAACACGUGGGUAACCUGCCCAUCAGAAGGGGAUAACACUUGGAAACAGGUGCUAAUACCGUAUAACAAUCGAAACCGCAUGGUUUUGAUUUGAAAGGCGCUUUCGGGUGUCGCUGAUGGAUGGACCCGCGGUGCAUUAGCUAGUUGGUGAGGUAACGGCUCACCAAGGCGACGAUGCAUAGCCGACCUGAGAGGGUGAUCGGCCACAUUGGGACUGAGACACGGCCCAAACUCCUACGGGAGGCAGCAGUAGGGAAUCUUCGGCAAUGGACGAAAGUCUGACCGAGCAACGCCGCGUGAGUGAAGAAGGUUUUCGGAUCGUAAAACUCUGUUGUUAGAGAAGAACAAGGAUGAGAGUAACUGUUCAUCCCUUGACGGUAUCUAACCAGAAAGCCACGGCUAACUACGUGCCAGCAGCCGCGGUAAUACGUAGGUGGCAAGCGUUGUCCGGAUUUAUUGGGCGUAAAGCGAGCGCAGGCGGUUUCUUAAGUCUGAUGUGAAAGCCCCCGGCUCAACCGGGGAGGGUCAUUGGAAACUGGGAGACUUGAGUGCAGAAGAGGAGAGUGGAAUUCCAUGUGUAGCGGUGAAAUGCGUAGAUAUAUGGAGGAACACCAGUGGCGAAGGCGGCUCUCUGGUCUGUAACUGACGCUGAGGCUCGAAAGCGUGGGGAGCAAACAGGAUUAGAUACCCUGGUAGUCCACGCCGUAAACGAUGAGUGCUAAGUGUUGGAGGGUUUCCGCCCUUCAGUGCUGCAGCUAACGCAUUAAGCACUCCGCCUGGGGAGUACGACCGCAAGGUUGAAACUCAAAGGAAUUGACGGGGGCCCGCACAAGCGGUGGAGCAUGUGGUUUAAUUCGAAGCAACGCGAAGAACCUUACCAGGUCUUGACAUCCACUUAAACUUACAGAGAUGUAAGGUGUGCUUGCACAAAGUGAGACAGGUGGUGCAUGGUUGUCGUCAGCUCGUGUCGUGAGAUGUUGGGUUAAGUCCCGCAACGAGCGCAACCCUUAUUGUUAGUUGCCAUCAUUUAGUUGGGCACUCUAGCAAGACUGCCGGUGACAAACCGGAGGAAGGUGGGGAUGACGUCAAAUCAUCAUGCCCCUUAUGACCUGGGCUACACACGUGCUACAAUGGGAAGUACAACGAGUCGCAAAGUCGCGAGGCUAAGCUAAUCUCUUAAAGCUUCUCUCAGUUCGGAUUGUAGGCUGCAACUCGCCUACAUGAAGCCGGAAUCGCUAGUAAUCGCGGAUCAGCACGCCGCGGUGAAUACGUUCCCGGGCCUUGUACACACCGCCCGUCACACCACGAGAGUUUGUAACACCCGAAGUCGGUGAGGUAACCUUUUGGAGCCAGCCGCCUAAGGUGGGAUAGAUGAUUGGGGUG